rnacentral:tRNA from 1 species
AAACCCAUGGUUUAGCGGUUAUCACAUCCGCCUAACACGCGGAAGGUCCCAGGUUCGUGACCUGGUGGGUACA